GAAAUGCGAUAAGUAAUGUGAAUUGCAGAAUUCAGUGAAUCAUCGAAUCUUUGAACGCACAUUGCGCCCCCGGGUAUUCCGGGGGGCAUGCCUGUUCGAGCGUCAUUUCACCACUCAAGCCUCGCUUGGUAUUGGGCGACGCGGUCCGCCGCGCGCCUCAAAUCGACCGGCUGGGUCUUCUGUCCCCUCAGCGUUGUGGAAACUAUUCGCUAAAGGGUGCCACGGGAGGCCACGCCGCAAAACAAACCCAUUUCUAAGGUUGACCUCGGAUCAGGUAGGGAUACCCGCUGAACUUAAGC
rnacentral:misc_RNA from 1 species